rnacentral:tRNA from 1 species
GCGAGAGUGGCGGAAUUGGUAGACGCACUGGACUUAGGAUCCAGCGGCUAAGUCCGUGGGAGUUCGAGUCUCCCCUCUCGCA